CCUACGGGUGGCUGCAGUGGGGAAUAUUGCACAAUGGGCGCAAGCCUGAUGCAGCCAUGCCGCGUGUGUGAAGAAGGCCUUCGGGUUGUAAAGCACUUUCAGCGGGGAGGAAGGCGUUAAGGUUAAUAACCUUGGCGAUUGACGUUACCCGCAGAAGAAGCACCGGCUAACUCCGUGCCAGCAGCCGCGGUAAUACGGAGGGUGCAAGCGUUAAUCGGAAUUACUGGGCGUAAAGCGCACGCAGGCGGUCUGUCAAGUCGGAUGUGAAAUCCCCGGGCUCAACCUGGGAACUGCAUUCGAAACUGGCAGGCUAGAGUCUUGUAGAGGGGGGUAGAAUUCCAGGUGUAGCGGUGAAAUGCGUAGAGAUCUGGAGGAAUACCGGUGGCGAAGGCGGCCCCCUGGACAAAGACCAACGCUCAGGUGCGAAAGCGUGGGGAGCAAACAGGAUUAGAUACCCCAGUAGUC
rnacentral:rRNA from 1 species